CACUCAAUGCUGUCACUUACAGGAGAUGCUGUCCCAGGGACACCUCGGGCCUCACUUCACACAUAUAAUGGCCUUGGGCUACACUGUGGGUCCGAAGAUCUCUGGGAAGGCCAGCAGUGCUGGGCCUGGACCGGCUCAGUCCCUGCCCGAGAAAUGGUCCAUCACGUCCCCGGGCAGGAGGCCGGGAGUGCAGGGGGUGGCGUGAUGGCGACCAGGAAGGAGUUGGCUUGCCUGCUGCUGACCCCGUGAUCUCAGGGUAUCAAUGUGCCUCAGGAAAGGGAAGACCCCCUAGGACCCAGAAGGACCCAUAAGUUGCUCCAUUGCCACAUGGACCCUCUAGCGCCAGCCCAGACAGUAGCCUUGAGGGGCCAGCAUUUGAAAUGCCUGCAGCAUCAUCCCCCAGGAACCAGGCCAGACAAGCGGAGGCGAAGAGAGGGCGGCAGAAAACAAGAUAAAUGGCCCAAUGGAUGCCAGCCCCGGCCGCCAAACACCGGGGGCUGUGGACUGGGCUGGCCCACGAUGUGCGUGUGAAGCAGCAGCUCACACAGAGCGUCGCCAAGCCCCUUCUUUCAGCAAACGCUGAGUCCCCGGAUGUGGGCUGACUUCGGGGCGUGGACAAUUUCUGUGGGUCAAGAAUCCAGGAACGCAGUGAUUUCUUGGAUCCGACAACGAAAGCAUAGGCAAUAAAAGAAAAAACUAGAUCAAGGGGACUACAUCAAAAUUUAAAACUUCUUCAUGUCAAAGGACAAUCGACAGUGUGAAAAGAGAACCCAUGAAAUGGGAGAAAAUAGUUGCAAAUCGUGUAUCUGCUAAGGGAAUGACGUCCAGAAUAUGUAAAGAACCCCUGCAACUCAGCUCUGGAACAAACAGCCUGAUGCAGAAACCGGCAAAGGACCUGAACAGGUGUUUCUCCAAAGGCAACGCCCACAAGCCCCUGAAAAGGUGCUCAAAGUCACUGGUAUGAGGGAAAUGCAAGCUGACACCACAGUGAGACGGUGCCUCACACCCAUCAGGACGGCUGCUCUCAAAACACGGAAAACGACAAGUGUUUCUUGUUGGAGGAUGAGGAGAAAUUGGGGUGUUGUGUGCUGUUGGUGGGGAUGUGAAUUUGUAUAGCUGCUGUGGAAAACAGGGUGCAGGUUCCUCCAAAAAUUAAACACAGAAUUACUGUGUGAUCCAGCAAUCCUACUUUUGGGUCUUUCCCCAAAAGAAGUGAAAGCAGGGUCUUGAUGACAUACUGCACACCCGUGUUCACAGCAGCAUUGUUCACAACAGCAAAAACGAGGAAGCAACCUCAGUGUCCCUUGAUGGAUGAAUGGCGUUAAAAAGAAAACCACAGGCCCCAAACAAUGUUAUUUGUGCUAAAGCCCAUGACAUGAGCCUGGAUUUGAGGCCUGAUCUAACUGCACUUUCAGCCUCUCCCAGAAACGUCAUCUUAAUCGACCAGUCUGGAAUUUUCUGGUCAACACCAGUCGGGUAAUCGCUCACCUGGGCCCUCUUGGCUCCCCAGAAGAAGAGGCAUCCAUGUGACAAAGCCCCUACCUUUCCUUCCCCCAGGAGACAAGGAGACGCCCUGGCCCCAAGUUAGCCUUCCUUUUCUUUUCUGGGAGCUCCCUGCCCGACCCUCCUUCCUAUUGCAGCCUGCAGAGCUCCCUUCUAGUGGCUAGAUGAGGUGCUGCCCGAUUCAGAGGCGCUUAGUGAAGCCAAUUAGAGCUUCCCAUUUACUCAGUUGAAUUUUGGUUUUAACAAUGGACGAGCAAAACGUGGCAUAUCCAUAUGUGAUGUUGUGAUUUAUAAUAAACAUGUAUUUGGUGUUCAUCUGUGAUUCCUGGCUCACGGCUCCCAAAAUGCUUGGAAAUUCCUGAGCAACAAUAACAAUGGGAGCAUCUUUUGUUAGAAUAUUUGGUCUCUCAUUCUCAGUUCCUCAAAUUGCUUCAGAGCCAUGAAGGUGACAUGGGUGUCUUUUUUUUAAAUUAUUUUUUAUUGUGGUAACAUUGGUUUAUAACAUUAUAUAAAUUUCGAGUGUACAUCAUUGUUGUGUAUAUUUUGAUUUCUGUGUAGAUUACAUCAUGUUCACCACCCAAAGACUAAUUACAAUCCAUCACCACACAUUUACGCCUAAUCAUCCCUUUCGUCCUGCUGCCUCCCCUCUUCCCCUCUGGUGACCACCAAUCCAGUCUCUGUUUCUGUGUGUUUAUCUGUCGCUGUUUUAAUCUUCUACUUAUGAGUCAGAUCAUAUGGUAUUUGACUUUCUCCCUCUGACAUUUCACCUAACAUAAGGUCCAUCCCUGUUGUCACGCCAGAUUUUAUAGCUUCUUAUGGCUGAGUCGUACUCGGUUGUGUAUAUAUAGCACAUAUUCUGUAUCCACUCGUCCCUUGAUGGCCACCUAGGCUGCUUCCAAGUCUUGGCUGAUGAGGAUUUUUAGACUGGUUAAUUUUAAAACUACAGAUGAGAGGCAGGCUCCGAGGAGUGGAAUUUGCUUGCCCCUUUGUUGGGAAAUAUUUACAUUUCUAAGGGAAACCUCUAUCUGUAAAGAUGCCUCCCUCUCUGUGCCAGGAAGAAGGGGGAUGGCCUUAUCUCUAGAAACUCUUAAUGCCAGAGACAAGAAUUUAAGUUGGUUGCUGUCUGGCAAUCUCAUGUAACUGAUUUAGGGUGGUGGCUUCUGACCUUUACUUAAUCCGAUUUGAUUCUUGUCUAAAAGUCAUGGGAUCACCCAAUGACCAGACCCCACCUGCACUGAUACCAUUUUAACUUUUUUUCGUGUUCUUUCCUUUGUCUUGUAAAAAGAUGACUCACAUACCCAUGCCUUAUAAAAUCAGCCCUAACCCUCAACUCGGGGCAGCAGCAGGAGCUCCUCCUGCCCGUGGGCCCUGUCCCCACGCAGCAGAAGCUCUGACUGCCCAUGGGUCCUGUCCCCAUGCUAUUCUAUUCUCUAAAUAAAAGAGCACUACUGCCAGAUCUUGAGUGUCCAAGAAAUCUUUCUUUCGACUCCUCAGCUCACCGACCCUGCAUCCUUGGCUAUUGUGAAUAAGGCUGCGAUGAACAUAGGCUGCAUGUCCUGUCAUUCAUAACAAUCCCCUUUCCACCACAACUGGGUUUCUGUUAGUGAGGUGACUUUUGCAAACCCCCUAAGGAUGAGGGCUGGUGGCCAGGGGAACAAACUGUGAUUGGAGGGUUGGUGCCUCCAUAAAAUCCAAACGGAGGGGGGUUCAGAGAGCAUCCAGGUUGGUGGACCAGAACGCCAGGCCAGUGCCAGGCCCCAGGGACCCGAACUCCCAGGGACAGAAGCUCCUGCAUUUGGGACCCUUCCAGACCUCGGCCUAAGUAUCUCUUCAUCUGGCUGUCCGUUCAUAUCCUUUAGUAUCCUCUGUAAUAAAGUGGUGAUCUAGUAAGUGAACUGGCUUCCUGAGUUCUGUGAGCCGCUCCAGCAAAUUCCUUCGACCCGAGGCAGGUCGUGGGAGCCUCACACCGCUACCACCUGGGGGAACCUUGAGGACAUCACGCCGAGUGAGAUGAGCCAGUCACAAAAGGACAAAUCCUGCACGAUUCCACUCAUAUGAGGUCCCCAGAGUCGUCAAAUCCAUAGAGACAGAAACCCCCCCAGUACAUAGUUGUACAUUCUUCGUUGUGGGU
ensembl:lncRNA